CCUACGGGGUGCAGCAGUGAGGAAUAUUGGUCAAUGGCCGAGAGGCUGAACCAGCCAAGUCGCGUGAGGGAAGAAUGUCCUAUGGAUUGUAAACCUCUUUUGUCAGGGAGCAAAGUCACCCACGUGUGGGUGUUGGAGAGUACCUGAAGAACAAGCAUCGGCUAACUCCGUGCCAGCAGCCGCGGUAAUACGGAGGAUGCGAGCGUUAUCCGGAUUUGUUGGGUUUAAAGGGUGCGUAGGCGGGUUAUCAAGUCAGCGGUAAAAUCGUGGAGCUCAACUCCAUCCAGCCGUUGAAACUGAUGAUCGUGAGUGGGCGAGAAGUAUGCGGAAUGCGUGGUGUAGCGGUGAAAUGCAUAGAUAUCACGCAGAACUCCGAUUGCGAAGGCAGCAUACCGGCGCCCGACUGACGCUGAAGCACGAAAGCGUGGGUAUCGAACAGGAUUAGAUACCCCUGUAGUC
rnacentral:rRNA from 1 species